AGUGAACGCUGGCGGUAGGCCUAACACAUGCAAGUCGAACGGCAGCACAGGAGAGCUUGCUCUCUGGGUGGCGAGUGGCGGACGGGUGAGGAAUACAUCGGAAUCUACUCUGUCGUGGGGGAUAACGUAGGGAAACUUACGCUAAUACCGCACACGCCCUACGGGUGAAAGCAGGGGACCUUCGGGCCUUGCGCGAUUGAAUGAGCCGAUGUCGGAGUAGCUAGUUGGCGGGGGAAAGGCCCACCAAGGCGACGAUCCGUAGCUGGUCUGAGAGGAUGAUCAGCCACACUGGAGCUGAGACACGGUCCAGACUCCGACGGGAGGCAGCAGUGGGGAAUAUUGGACAAUGGGCGCAAGCCUGAUCCAGCCAUACCGCGUGGGUGAAGAAGGCCUUCGGGUUGUAAAGCCCUUUUGUUGGGAAAGAAAUCCAGCUGGCUAAUACCCGGUUGGGAUGACGGUACCCAAAGAAUAAGCACCGGCUAACUUCGUGCCAGCCGCCGCCGUAA
rnacentral:rRNA from 1 species